GCACAAGCGGCGGAGCAUGCGGCUUAAUUCGAUGCAACCCGAAGAACCUUACCUGGGCUUGACAUCAUGGGAAAAGCCGUAGAGAUACGGUGUGCAUUAGCGUCCAUGACAGGUGGUGCAUGGCUGUCGUCAGCUCGUGUCGUGAGAUGUUGGGUUAAGUCCCGCAACGAGCGCAACCCUUGUCCUAUGUUGCCAGCGGUUCGGCCGGGGACUCAUAGGAGACUGCCGGGGACAACUCGGAGGAAGGUGAGGACGACGUCAAGUCAUCAUGCCCCUUAUGUCCAGGGCUGCACGCAUGCUACAAUGGCCGGUACAACGGGCUGCGAUCCCGCGAGGGUGAGCGAAUCCCUUAAAGCCGGCCUCAGUUCGGAUUGGAGUCUGCAACUCGACUCCAUGAAGUCGGAGUCGCUAGUAAUCGCGGAUCAGCAAAGCCGCGGUGAAUGCGUUCUCGGGGAUU
rnacentral:rRNA from 1 species